UUGGUUAGGUUAACAAACAAGGGUCAUUUCUAAGGCCAUUGAAACGAAAGUGCCGAUGCAAAAGAGACAUUCACAGUAUUAUUCACACUACUCGACUUUGUUUCAUUUGUUUCUUAUUUGAAACCUUCACAACACAUAUUCCACAACUCAAUUUUUAUUUUUCACUAUUUUUCUUCCAAGCAAGCAUUCAUUUUCAUUUUUUCUAUUUUUGUUCUUUUCUUUCACAUCAAAUAUACAAAACAGAUGUUUCUUUUCUAUAUUUUCUAUACAUAUAUUUUUCUAUGCUUGCUCGGUUUUUCUUUUCUUUUUCAAGAGUUGUGGUACUUACCAAUUCUUUUUCGUUCUCCCCAACUUAUUUCUUCCACACCCUAAGUGAAUGCUCUUAACUUUUUACGGCAAAAGAACAAUAAUCAAGAUUUUCCGGGUUGUAAAAAAAAAGAUUUUUGAGAUCUCGCUUUAUUUCAAGCCGAGAUUCAACUGUUUAGGCUCAAAGGGGUUAACAAAUACUCUCUCUGCUCACAGGUAAGUUGUUUUUGGAUGUAGUUGUGCUCGAAAGAAAACAAGUGCCUUGAUCAUUUCUAAUUGCUUCCACAAUUUCACAAUAAUAAAAGACAAAGAAUGAAUCACAUGAAUC
rnacentral:lncRNA from 1 species